CACUGGGGACUGACGAGGUCAAAGCGUAGUCCGUUUCUCUACGACGUCGGGUAUAUGUUUUACUACGAAACAUUGUAUCAAUCGAAGUAAAGAUUGGUGGAAAUAUUGGGUUUUAAAUAGAGUCAUGGAGUGGCUGGAUGUUUCAUUUGAGGAGGAGGUAUUAACAACGGCACAACAUGAUACGAACAGCACAGUCGACAUGAUAGCAAUUUGAAUGUGAAGUGCGAUAAUACGUUGACGACAGUACGAUAACGCGAUAGUACGAUGGCGACAAUGCGAUAAUACGAUGACGACAGUGCGACAAUAUGAUGGGGGCAGUGCGAUAGUACGAUGGCGACAAUGUGAUUGUGCGAUAAUACGAUGACGACAGUGCG